GACGUAGGGCGCGAGCGUUGUCCGGAUUUAUUGGGCGUAAAGAGCUCGUAGGCGGCUUGUUGCGUCAGCUGUGAAAACCCGCAGCUCAACUGUGGGCUUGCAGCUGAUACGGGCAGGCUUGAGUUCGGUAGGGGAGACUGGAAUUCCUGGUGUAGCGGUGAAAUGCGCAGAUAUCAGGAGGAACACCAGUGGCGAAGGCGGGUCUCUGGGCCGAUAUUGACGCUGAGGAGCGAAAGCGUGGGGAGCGAACAGG
rnacentral:rRNA from 1 species